UAUUAAUCUUUGUCUGAAAGGAACAUGAAUUAUAAUCUAAUACAACUUUUACAAUGGAUCUCUUGGCUCUCGCAUCGAAUGAAGAACGCAGCGAAAUGCGAUAAGUAAUGUGAAUUGCAGAAUUCAGUGAAUCAUCGAAUCUUUGAACGCAUAUUGCGCUCUUUGGUAUUCCAGAGAGCAUGCCUGUUUGAGUAUUGGUACUAUGGGUGAACUUCCUUUGAAUUUUCAAGUAAAAUCAUUUAAAACCCUAUUGAGACGUCUUGGCAAUCUUUUUUGACAAGUGUCUUAAAAUUCAAUUGAAUUUUCCAUGUUCCAGUGGAAGACGACUAGUUUAUGGAGUAAUAUGGUAAGGGUUGCCCCUGACCUGAAAAAGUGCUGUAAAAAGUUCUUUUUCUUACUUUUUACUAGUUUCCUUUAUGCUGGAACAUGAUCUUUGAAUGCCCUUGAAGAAGACAUUCAAAAGUUUUAAGCUCAAUCUCAAAUCAGGUAGGAUUACCCGCUGAACUUAA
rnacentral:rRNA from 1 species